GACGAACGCUGGCGGCGUGCCUAAUACAUGCAAGUCGAACGCAGUGGGGACGGGUGAGUAACACGUGGGUAACCUCCCAUCAGAGGGGAUAACACUUGGAAACAGGUGCUAAACCGAUACUGAUGGAUGGACCCGCGGUGCAUUAGCUAGUUGGUGAGGUAACGGCUCACCAAGGCCACGAUGCAUAGCCGGCCUUGUGGGGUGAGCGGCCACACUGGGACUGGGACACGGGCCAGACUCCUACGGGGGGCAGCAGUAGGGAAGCUUCGGCAAUUGGCGAAAGUCUGACCGGGGAACGCCGCGUGGGUGAAGAAGGUUUUCGGAUCGUAAAGCUCUGUUGUUCAGGAAUCGGUACUUAACCAGAAAGGGACGGCUAACUACGUGCCAGCAGCCGCGGUAAUAC
rnacentral:rRNA from 1 species